GAGGAGCCCGGCUCUGGACACGGCCGUCAGGAAGCUCAGAGGCUGCAGCACCGCUUCUGCGUUGAUUUCCGCUUGACUUUUACUCUUUUCUUGGGUUAAAAAUCAAACGCCGACCCGAGGCGUCAGAGAUGGGCGGUCGUUAGGCGCAGUGGCGGCCCCCGGAUGUUUGCGAUGGGACGGCGGGCUCGGAACGUGUGGACGUGGGCUUUGGAGACAGCGUCUCACCCUGUCGCCCAGGCUGGAGUGCAACGGCACAAUCUCGGCUCACUGCAACCUCCACCUCCAGGGUUCAAGCAAUUCCCCUGCCUCAGCUUCCCAAGUAGCUGGGAUUACAGGCACACACCACCACACCUGGCUAAUUUUUUGCAUCUUUGGUAGAGACGGGGUUUCACCAUGUUGGCCAGGCUGGUCUUGAUCUCCUGACCUCGUGAUCCAUCUGCCUUGGCCUCCCAAAGUACUGGGAUUACAGGCGUUAGCCACCGCGCCCUGCCUCACUAGUCUUUUCAAGAAAGAAGCUUUUAGAUGUGGAUUUAUUAUCUGUUAAUUCUCAUUUUCAUCUUCAUUAUUUCCUUUUUGCUACUUUUAUUUGGAUAUUUUCUAGGAUUCUUCCUAAUCUCUUGGGUUGGAUGCUUAACACUUACAUUUCCAUUGAUCCUGUUUUCCUAAUAGAGGCAUUUGGGGUAAUGCAUUUUCCAGUAAGUGCCACUUUAGAUUAUAUCCCAUUUUGUGUGGUGUCCUAUAUCAGUUAAACCCACCGUAUUCAUUGUAUAAAUCAAAUUUUUCAUAUACUUACUGUAUUAGUCCAUUUUCACGCUGCUGAUAAAGACAUACCCAAGACUGAGUAAUUUAUAAAGUAAAAGAGGUUUAAUGGACUCACAGUUCCAUGUGGCUGGGGAGGCCUCAUAAUCAUGGUGGGUGAAAGGCACUUCUGACAUGCUGGUGGCAAGAGAGAAUCAGAGCACCAAGCAAAAAGGAAACCCCUUGUCAAAUCACCAGAUCUCAUGAGACUUAUUCACUACCAUGAGAACAGUAUCAGGGAAACCACUCCCAAGAUUCAGUUAUCUCCCACUGGGUCCCUCCCACAAUAUGUGGGAAUUGUGGGAGCUGCAAUUCAAGAUGAGAUUUGGGUGGGGACAUAGCCAAAACAAGUUAUCUCCCACCAGGUCCCUCCCACAUGUGGGAAUUAAGGGAGCUGCAAUUCAAGAAGAGAUUUGGGUGGGGACACAGCCAAACCAGAUCACUUACCAAUUAUGUGCUGUCCUGCUCUAUCAAUUCCUAAGAAAAGUGUGCAAAAAUUUCCAAAUGGUAAUGUGGAUUUGUAGUUUAUUCCUCUAAUUGUCCUAUUUUGUAUAAUACAUUCUUUGGUCUAUGUUAAUUUGAAAUUUUGAACAUAGAAUCAUUAUAUCUUCAUAGAAAAUUGUACUUUUAUCCUUAUAUAAUGACCCUUUUUAUUCCUAACGAUGGUUUCCCUAAAGCUUAUGUUACCCAAUUAAUGUUUGCCAGGUAUAUAUUUUUCCACUCAUACUCACUUUUUAUAACAUUUUUAUGCAUUUAUUUUAUAAACAUAUACAUGGAAUAUUUUAAAGCAUAAUGCGACAUUCUGCUUUUAAACCGAUGAGUUUAUAUGAUUUGUGAUUAUUGAUACAGUUGGCUGGGUGCGGUGGCUCACGCCUGUAAUCCCAGCAUUUUGGGAAGCCGAGGUGGGCAGAUUACUAGGUCAGGAGAUCGAGACCAUCCUGGCUAACAUGGUGAACCCCCAUCUCUACUAAAAAUACAAAAAAUUAGCCGGGUGUGGUGGUGGGUGCCUAAAGAUUAUUGAUACAGUUAUGUUUAUUUCUAUCAUUUUACUUUUUGCUUUCCAUUGGCCUUGUGUUUUUUGUCCCUUAUUAUUUUCUAUCUUCUUUUGGAUUUAAUCAAGCUUUCUCACUUCCAUUUUCAAUAUCUAUUCUUUAAGUGUUAAUGUUAAGGUGUUUGCUAUGUAUACAAGACUUAACAAAGUCUAAAGGUAAUCACUUAAUCUGCUCUCUCCAUAACCAACAGAGAGGCAUCCCAAUUUUUUUUUUUUUUUUGAGGCAGAGUUUUGCUCUUCUUGCCCAGGCUGGAGUGCGAUGGCGCGAUCUCAACUCACUGCAACCUCUUCCUCCCAGGUUCAAGCAUUUCUCCUGCCUCAGCCUCCUGAGUAGCUGGGAUGACAGGUGCCUGACACCACGCCCAGCUAAUUUUUGUAUUUUUAGUAGAGACUGGGGUUUCUCCAUGUUGGUCGGGCUGGUCUCGAACUCCUGACCUCAGGUGAUCCACCAGCCUCGGCCUCCCAAAGUGCUGGGAUUACAGGUGUGAGCCACCACGCCUGGCUCCAAUUUUUUUUUUUUUUUUUUUGAGACAGAGUUUUCACUCUUGUUGCCCAGGCUGGAAUGCAGUGGCACAGUCUUGGCUCACUACAACUUCCACCUCCCAGGUUCAAGCGAUUCUCCUGCCUCAGCCUCCCAAGUAGCUGGAAUUACACACACCCACCACCACAGCUGGCUAAUUUUUUGUAUUUAGUAGAGAGAGGGUUUCACCAUGUUGGUCUGGCUGGUCUGGAAUUCCUGACCUCAGGUGAUCUGUCUGCCUUGGCCUCCCAAAGUGCUGGGAUUACAGGCGUGAGCCACUGCACCCAGCGUCCCAACAUUUUUAUCUCUGAUCAUCCUGAACACAUACCAUGUUACUCACUGUUUUAGUUCUGCGUUAUUUUUGUUGCAUAACCAGUAACAUAACAUUAUUAUUGUUAGUUUACAUAGCCAAUACUAGUUUAGGUUCACAUGUAUUACCUCUUGGCUUCACCCACUACUUUUCUCUGAUGGCAAUCUUUGGAAGUUCCUUCAUUGAGGGUUUAUUAGUGGUAAACUCUUUAUCUUUGCUGUGGUGCAGUGUCUAGAAUUUUUGUUAAGUGAAGGUUUUACAUUUAAAUCUUCAUCUAUUAAGUUUGAAUAUGGGAUGAGUUAUGGAUUGAGGUUCAUUUGUUUUGUAUAUUGACUUUCAAUUGUUGCAGCACCAUUUUUUUAAACCACUAUUUUCAUUGAUUUGCCCUUGCAACUUUGUCAAAAAUCAAUUGACCAUAUACACGAAGGUCUAUUUAUGUAUUCUCAAUUAUGGUCCAUGAUCUAUGUGUUUAUCCUUUCUCUGACACAAUGUUUAGAUUGCUGUAUCUUUACAGUAAGUUUCGAAGUCAGGGAGUGCGAGUCUUCCAGCUCUGUUCCUCUUUGACAAAAGAUGUUUUGGCUAUUCUAGUUUCUUCUGCUUUUCCAAAUAAAUUUGAUUAACUUGUUAAUGUCUACAAAAACUCCUGCUGGAAUUUCCAUUGGGAUCGCAAUAAAUUUAUAGGUAAAUCUAGAGAGAACUGACAUUCUACUAUUUAUUGUUCCAAACCACAAAUAUGAUACAUAUUUCCAUUUAUUUAGGAUUUGGAUUUCCCUUAUUUCUCUCAUAAGCGUUUUGACGUUUUCAACAUACAGAUCUUUUAUAACAACACUUACCCACUUCCCACCAUUCUACCCCCAUUCCUAAACCUUGGCAACACAAGAAUCUGUCCUCCAUUAAAAAUGUUAUGAUUUCAGAAAUGUUAUAUAAAUGGAAUAAUACAAUAUGCAACCUUAUGGGACUGAUUUCUUGCAUUUGGUGUACUUCUCUAGAGAUUAAUCCAAGUUUUUGUGUGUAUCAGUAGUCCAUUUAUUUUCCUGAAUAGCAUUCCAUAUGUGUGUGCCACAAUUUGUUUAACCAUUUACCUUAUUCUCAGUUUUUGGCUGUUCAAAUAAACUGAUAUUAAUCUGUGUACAGGUUUUGGUGAGAAAAUAUAUUUAUCUGGGAUAAAUCCCCAAAAGUGCAAUUGCUAGGUUAUAUGGUAAUUUGAUGUUUAAUUCAUAAGAAACUGCCAAACUGUUUUCUAGAAUUGCUGUACCAUUUUCCACUCCCACUGGUAAUGUAUUAGUGAUACAGCUUCUAUGUACCCUCAACAUUUGAUGGUGUCACUAUUUUUUUUUUUUUUUUUUUUAGACAGAGUCUUGCUCUGUUGCCCAGGCUGGAGUGCAAUGGCGUGUCUUGGCUCACUGCAACCUCCGCCUCCAGGUACAAGCAGUUCUCUGCCUCAGCCUCCCGAGUAGCUGGGAUUACAGGUGCGCACCACCAUGCCUGGCUAAUUUUUGUAUUUUUAGUAGAGAUGGAGUUUCACCAUCUUGGCCAGGCUGGUCUCGAACUCCUGACCGCGUGAUCCACCCGCCUCAGCCUCCCAAAGUGCUGGGCUUACAAGCAUGAGCCACUGCACCCAGCCGCUGUCACUAUUUCUUUUCUUUUUUGAGACGGAGUCACGCUCUGUCGCCCAGGCUGGGGUGCAGGGACACAAUCUCGGUUCACUGUAAGCUCCACCUCCCAGGUUCACACCAACCUCCUGCCUCAGACUAUUUUUUACUUAAGCCAUCUUGAUAUCUUGAUAGGUGUGUAGUAGCACUUCAUUGUGAUUUGAAUUUGCGUUUCCCAAAUCACUAAUGAUAGUGAAUGUUUUUUCAUGUGCUUGUCAUCUGUAUGUUUUUCUCAGUGAAAUAUCUGUUAAUGUCUACUGCCCAUUUUAUAAUGUUUUUUUUUUCUUUUUUUUGGGAUGGAGUUUUGCUCUGUCACCCAGGCUGGAGUGCAAUGGCACAGUCUCGGCUCACUGCAAUCUCCAACUCCUGGAUUCAAACGAUUCUCCUGCCUCAGCCUCCCGAGUAGCUGGAAUUACAGGUGCAUGCCACCACACCUAGCUAAUUUUUAUAUUUUUAGUAUAGACGGGGUUUCACCAUGUUGGCCAGGAUGGUCUCAAUCUCUUGACCUCGUGAUCUGCCCACCUCGGCCUCCCAAAGUGCUGGGAUUACAGGUGUGAGCUACUGCGCCUGGCCUGCUGUACAGUUUUAAAGAUGAAUUACAUUGAUGUAUUUUGAAAUAUUCAACUUACCCUUACAUACGUGGAAUAAAUCCCACUUGGUCAUGGUGCAUACUUCUUAUAUAUUUUGAAUUUUGUUUUCAAAUAUUUUGUUGAGGAUUUUCACAUGUAAGUUCAUGACAGAUAUUGGCCUGUAGUUGUGUGUGUGUGCACACGUGUGCAUGCAGUCAUGCUGUCUUCGGUUUGUUAUCAGGGUAGUGUAAUACUGGCCUCAUAAAAUGAGUUGAGAGAUAUAUUCCCCCUCUUCUAUUUUUCUGGAAUAUCAUGUAAAGCUGAUAUAAAUUAUUCUUUAAAUGACUGGUACAGUUCUCCAUCUGGGCCUAGAGAUUUCUGUUUGGGUAGAUCAUUAGUAGUUCAAUUUCUUUACUGGAUAUAGGGCUUUUCGAUACUCAACUUCAUCAUGGGUGAGUUUUGGUAGUUUGUGGUUUUUAAGAAAUUAAUCCAUUUCUUCCAAGCUGUUGAAUUUAUAAGUGUGAAGUUGUUAGUAGAGAUCCUUUUUUAUUUUUGAUGUUGGCAAGGUCUGUAAUAAAGUAUUUCAUUUUUAAUACUGGUGAUUUGUAUCUUUUUAUUUCUGUCAAUGUUGCUAUAAGUUAAUCAUUUUUGUUAAUUUUUUUAAGAAUGAGCUUUAGUUGUCCUAUUUUCAAUCACUGACUUCAGUUCUUUAUCAUUUUCUUCCUUGCACUUGUUUUGGAUUUAUUUUGCACUUGUUUUUCUAGUUUCCUGAGGUAGAAACUUAAAUUACUGAUUUAAAAAUCUUUCCUUAUUUCUCAUGUACACGUUAGAAGGGUAAAAUCUACUUUUGUGUGUGUGUGUGUGUGUGUGUGUGUUUUUGAGACAGAGUCUUGCUCUGUCCCCCAGUCUGGAGUGCAGUGGCGCUAUCUCGGCUCACUGCAA
rnacentral:lncRNA from 1 species